rnacentral:rRNA from 1 species
ACGUAGGGGGCAAGCGUUAUCCGGAUUUACUGGGUGUAAAGGGAGCGUAGACGGUGAAGCAAGUCUGAAGUGAAAGGUUGGGGCUCAACCCCGAAACUGCUUUGGAAACUGUUUAACUGGAGUACAGGAGAGGUAAGUGGAAUUCCUAGUGUAGCGGUGAAAUGCGUAGAUAUUAGGAGGAACACCAGUGGCGAAGGCGGCUUACUGGACUGUAACUGACGUUGAGGCUCGAAAGCGUGGGGAGCAAACAG